rnacentral:rRNA from 1 species
UAGGGAAUCUUCCACAAUGGGCGCAAGCCUGAUGGAGCAACACCGCGUGAGUGAAGGAGGGUUUCGGCUCGUAAAGCUCUGUUGUUAAAGAAGAACACGUAUGAGAGUAACUGUUCAUACGUUGACGGUAUUUAACCAGAAAGUCACGGCUAACUACGUGCCAU